UUAAGUGCUUCUCCAGCUCCUCCUCUCCUCAUCCUCCAAACCCUCUAAUCUGUCAGCAGUAAACUCACUUUCCAAGUUACAAGGCCAUUCUCAGCACACAGUGACACCAUGCUGGGGACCCUCUGCACUCUCAUCACUGCUCUAACAUGUGUGAGUGGUGUGACGGUGGUGACACAGAAGCCUCCUGUUGUGACGGUGAGGAGAGGAGAGACAGCCACCAUGGACUGUAACCUGUUUUCCAUAAAAACAUUAUUAUUAUGAGUAAAGUGAAUUCAUGCAUGAAAGUUUUAUAAUGUUUUGACAUAUUUUGAUUUCACUUUGUUCAUAAGUUAACAACAGACUUCCUCUACAUGAUGUAAGCUUUGGCUUUGCACACAUGUUCAUAUUGUAAUACAUACCAUAAGAAGUAAUGUCUGUCAUUGACUAAAUGUUUAGAAUUAAACUAUCAGUGUGUUUCCA